rnacentral:snRNA from 1 species
GUAUUCGACCGGCUUGCCGGGAAAUGUGUUGUAUCGCGAAUAAACUGAAAAGACAAAAAAAAAGAUUCUUUCGCCUUUUACUAAAGAGUUCCGUGGAGAGGAGCAGUUCAAUGAGUCUUGAACAUUUUUCGAUAUCCGACUUUGGUCGUUUU